CAUGCAGUCGAGCGCGAAAACCUUCGGUGUGAGUAAAGCGGCGGACGGGUGAGUAACGCGUAGGAUCUACCUAGUAGUGGGGGACAACUCGGGGAAACUCGAGCUAAUACCGCAUACGCCCUACGGGGGAAAGCGGGGGACCUUCGGGCCUCGCGCUAUCAGAUGAGCCUGCGUUGGAUUAGCUAGUUGGUGGGGUAAUGGCCUACCAAGGCGACGAUCCAUAGCUGGUCUGAGAGGAUGAUCAGCCACACCGGGACUGAGACACGGUCCAGACUCCUACGGGAGGCAGCAGUGGGGAAUCUUAGACAAUGGGGGCAACCCUGAUCUAGCCAUGCCGCGUGAGUGAUGAAGGCCUUAGGGUCGUAAAGCUCUUUCGCCUGUGAUGAUAAUGACAGUAGCAGGUAAAGAAACCCCGGCUAACUCCGUGCCAGCAGCCGCGGUAAUACGGAGGGGGUUAGCGUUGUUCGGAAUUACUGGGCGUAAAGCGCGCGUAGGCGGAUUAGAAAGUUGGGGGUGAAAUCCCGGGGCUCAACCCCGGAACUGCCUCCAAAACUGCUAGUCUAGAGUUCGAGAGAGGUGAGUGGAAUUCCGAGUGUAGAGGUGAAAUUCGUAGAUAUUCGGAGGAACACCAGUGGCGAAGGCGGCUCACUGGCUCGAUACUGACGCUGAGGUGCGAAAG
rnacentral:rRNA from 1 species